rnacentral:rRNA from 1 species
AGGAUAGAGGCCUACCAUGGUGGUAACGAGUAACGGGGUGUUAGGGCACGACACCGGAGAGGGAGCCUGAGAAACGGCUACCACAUCCAAGGAUGGCAGCAGGCGCGCAAAUUACCCAAUCCCGACACGGGGAGGUAGUGACAAUAAAUAACAAUACGGGGUUCUUUAGGAUCUCGUAAUUGGAAUGAGUACAAUUUAAAUCUCUUAACGAGGAACAAUUGGAGGGCAAGUCUGGUGCCAGCAGCCGCGGUAAUUCCAGCUCCAAUAGCGUAUAUUAAAGUUGUUGCAGUUAAAAAGCUCGUAGUUGAAUUUCGGGGUUAGUAGGUUGGUCAUGCCUCUGGUAUGUACUGGUCUCACUGAUUCCUCCUUCCUUAUGAACCGUAAUGCCAUUAAUUUGGUGUUGCGGGGAAUUUGGACUGUUACUUUGAAAAAAUUAGAGUGUUUAAAGCAAGCUAACGCUUGAAUACAUUAGCAUGGAAUAAUGAAAUAGGACGUUCGAUCUUAUUUUGUUGGUUUCUAGGAUUGACGUAAUGAUUAAUAGGGAUAGUUGGGGGCAUUAGUAUUCAAUUGUCAGAGGUGAAAUUCUUGGAUUUAUUGAAGACUAACUACUGCGAAAGCAUUUGCCAAGGAUGUUUUCAUUAAUCAAGAACGAAAGUUAGGGGAUCGAAGACGAUCAGAUACCGUCGUAGUCUUAACCAUAAACUAUGCCGACUAGG